AUAUAUAGAAUAUAGAUAAACAUAGUUACAUUAUAGUUACAUUGCAUAUAUAUAUAUAUAGAUUAUAAAUGGAAAUUUUGAGAACUAUAUUAUGGUAAGUUUGUGAUAAGCUAUAGAAAUAUUAUAGGUUAGAAGUUAGAGAUUUUGAGAUCCUUGAUUGGUUAGUUGUUUAGGAUAUAUGUUAUAAACAAUAGAUAUUUUUCACUUCAUGCUUAGAUUGUAGAUAGAUGAAAAGAUAGAACUUAUGAGCUUGCUUUCUCUUAUUAUUUAAAGUUAGUUAGGUAGUAAGAUGGUUAGUUUAGCAAGAAUGGUUGAGUUUAGAGUAGAAUACCUGAAACCAGUUUUCAGGCAGUAGUUUAGGCAUAUACAAGCAAUACGGACAACACUGGGUAUAUGUUUAGACAUAACCUUAGAUAUAACCAUACUUCCACUCACUUACCUAAACACUCAUCAGUAUAUCUUUAGUGUUUAAAGUCAAAUAUAGACCCAUUCUAAAGUUUGGUUUCAGUUAACUGGAUUUUAUAUCAGGCAUUCUAAUCCAGUAUUGCUGACAGCUAUUUUAAAUCAGUUCCGGUGUUAGCUAUUUCUAACCUAAAUAGCUCUCGAAUAAGCUAUUCUAAACCUAAUUAUAGUUCCGGUGCCAGCUAUCUUUAACCUGAUCAGCUCUCAUUUCAGUUAUUCAACCUUAAUCAACUCUACUGUUAGCUAGUCUAAACCAAAUAAGCUCCGGUGGCAGCUAUUCUAAACCUGAUCAGCUCUCGUUUCAGUUAUUCAACCUUAAUCAACUCUACUGUAAGCUAGUUUAAACCUAAUCAGCUCCGGUGUCAGCUAUCCUAAACCUGAUCAGCAUUCGUUUGAACUGCUGACUAGUUAAAACCAAAUCAACUCUAGUGGCAGCUAUCCUGUAUUUGAAUAGCUCAGCGACAUCUUUCUUACAUUUAAUCAGCUCUGGUACCUGCUAUUCUAGGUUUAAUCAGCUCUGGUUUCAGUGAUUCUAUAGAUAUAAUUUGCCUAGAUAUUACCUAUCAGCUAUUUAGGUGAAUACUUGAAUCUAUCAGUUAAUCAGUUGUAUCCCUGAACCAUCAGAUAAUUAGCUGUAUCUCUGAACCACCAGUUAGUCAGCUGUACUCUGCAGUAAUCAGUUAAUCCCUGUACCCAACAAUUUAUCAGCUGUAUUUCUGAACCCAUCAGUUAAUCCCUGACCUCAUCAAUUUAUCAGAUCUGUAUCCCUGAAUUCAUCAGUUAAUCAGCCGUGUGAAUAUGUAUCAACAACCAUGGUAUCACAUGGACCCUGUCUGGAACCAUUUUGACCGGGGUUUCUACUGCCUGGCAUUUGUAGGAUAUAUCUUCUUAUAUGUUAUCUGGGUAAACCGAGUCAUGGCAAUUCCGACUCCUUCCAUCGAUUUCUUUGUUUCAACACAGAAUGAAGAUGAAGAUGCUCAUGAAGACAUUGAGGAGUCCAACUGGUGAUAUACAUAUCUUAAGAUAAUGAUAAUGAUGACGAUAAUAAAUAUGAAGAUGAUCUUAAGAUGAUUAUGAUGAUGCAGACAUUGAGCUUGAACAGUCCAGCUGGUGAUCCUAUCAAAGAAGAAGAUGACGUCCGUAAUGAUGAAGACAUUGAGCAGUCCAACUGGUGAUCCUAUCACGAUAUAUUUAACUGGAUGAUGAUGAUAAUAAUAAUGAAGACAUUAAGCAGUCCAUCAUGAUGAUGAUGAUGAUGAUAAUAAUAAUGAAGACAUUGAGCAGUCCAGCUGGUGGUCCUAUCAAGAUAUAUUUAACUAGAUGGUGAUGAUGAUGAUAAUAAUGAAGACAUUGAGCAGUCCAACUGGUGAUCCUAUCAAGAUAGAUAUAUAAAGAUAAUGAUGAUGACGUUGAUGACGAUGAUGAUGAUGAUGAUUGUCUUAAUGACUGAAUUUAUCCUAUAUAGAUUCUUUUUAAAAAGUACGCUGAUUAGUAGUUGAUUUCUAUUCUUUGGAUCAAUUAUUCACUUUGAACAUUCCCAGGACGUACUUGAAAAUACAUUGUUAUGCAAACUAGCAGAUAAAUCUCUGACACUGUUAGGUUGCCAAGCCAGGGCCAUUUGGUCUUUCGAUCACGUGGAUACAUGGUCAGAAGGGUUGGAAAAGUGUAAAAAAAGUUGUCUUAAAAUUUGAGUUAUUUUUCAAUUAUAAGAUUAAAUUUUUCAUCUUUUUAGAAUUGAUGGAACAGUUUUCAGACCCUUGUAUAUGAAAGUCUUUAUUUUUUUCUUAUACAAUGUAAUGUAUUUUCUGUGAUUUUAAAAAUAAAUUGUUCUUUAAAUCUUUA
rnacentral:lncRNA from 1 species